rnacentral:rRNA from 1 species
ACGGAAGGCAGCAGUCGGGAAUAUUGCGCAAUGGAGGAAACUCUGACGCAGUGACGCCGCGUAUAGGAUGAAGGUUUUCGGAUUGUAAACUAUUGUCGUUAGGGAAGAUUAUGACAGUACCUAAGGAGGAAGCCCCGGCUAACUAUGUGCCAGCAGCCGCGGUAAUACAUAGGGGGCAAGCGUUAUCCGGAAUUAUUGGGUGUAAAGGGUGCGUAGACGGAGUAACAAGUUGGUUGUGAAAUCCCUCGGCUUAACUGAGGAACUGCAACCAAAACUAUUACCCUUGAGUGUCGGAGGGGAAAGUGGAAUUCCUAGUGUAGCGGUGAAAUGCGUAGAUAUUAGGAGGAACACCGGUGGCGAAGGCGACUUUCUGGACGAUAACUGACGUUGAGGCACGAAAGUGUGGGGAGCAAACAGGAUUAGAUACCCUGGUA